UACGUAGGGUGCAAGCGUUAAUCGGAAUUACUGGGCGUAAAGCGUGCGCAGGCGGUUGUGCAAGACAGAUGGGAAAUCCCCGGGCUUAACCUGGGAAUGGCAUUUGGGACUGCAAGGCUGGAGUGCGGCAGAGGAGACUGGAAUUCCUGGUGUAGCAGUGAAAUGCGUAGAUAUCAGGAGGAAUACCGAUGGCGAAGGCAGGUCUCUGGGCUGACACUGACGCUCAUGCACGAAAGCGUGGGGAGCAAACAGG
rnacentral:rRNA from 1 species